rnacentral:rRNA from 1 species
UACGUAGGGGGCAAGCGUUGUCCGGAAUCAUUGGGCGUAAAGCGCGUGUAGGCGGCCCGGUAAGUCCGCUGUGAAAGUCGGGGGCUCAACCCUCGAAUGCCGGUGGAUACUGUCGGGCUAGAGUGCGGGAGAGGCGAGUGGAAUUCCUGGUGUAGCGGUGAAAUGCGCAGAUAUCAGGAGGAACACCGAUUGCGAAGGCAGCUCGCUGGGACGUCACUGACGCUGAGACGCGAAAGCGUGGGGAGCAAACAGG